CUCAGUGCUGGCCUCUGGGGACCCGUUCUGUCCCUGUAACCCUAUUCCUCUCCCUCUGCUUUAUUUAUACAUGAGCCCCAAGGGGGGGAGUGGAAAUAGGAAGAGGAAUGGUGGGACUGGAAACUGGGGGUCACUCCGAAGGAGCUGGGACAGGAAGGGCAAAGCCCUGGCAGGGUCUGCUGAGGGACCACAGACUGGGAGAGAUGGAUGCCUACCAGCCAGCUUGGAUGCUUUAAUUGGAAUGGAUUCAGAAGGUGGUAAAAUGCCUCUGUAAAGAAAGCCUGGAAACAUGAGAACAGAAAUCCCUACAGCUAAGGCAGAUCGUGGACCACACUCUGGGAAUUGCUGGGUUUGGGAAUGCGUUCAUCCGAAGAGAGCAGAAGACAACCCCGAAACACGGUCUGCUCCUUGCAGUGGCUUUGCUUCCUCUGUACAGAGGGAGAAGAGAAGGAGGGGUUUUCGUGCAGAAUGCUUCUGCUUUUCGGUUUGCUCGAGGGGAAAAAAUGCAUCGGAGCCACAGGAUGUUUCUGUGGGGGGUUUAAUUCUGUCACAAAUCACUUCCUUCGGUAUGAAAGAAAGGGGUUCUUCAGUGACAAUCUGUGUCCCAAGAUCCCGGGUGAUCUGGAUUGGAUGAGAGACACAUGAGGUCCCCUCCAGCUUCAAUUGCUCCCUAUCUUCACGAGCAUUCAUCUUUGGGACGCUGCGUUACCUUUGCCUCCAUCUCACAAGUGGGUAAACUGAGGCAGGAAGAGCCACUCAGAGGCAGGAACAGAGACCAGCCCGCCACGUGACAGAUCCAAUGCUGUAGCUGAACAAGUGCCAAACCCUAAAUAAGGAACUUUCCCUUGCCGACCCUUUAUUGACCUCUUGUUUGCUGGGAUAUUGGCUCAGGCAGGCACAGCCAAGAAAGAAAAAAAUGCUGGUUUUUGAUUCAGCAUUUAUUUCACUGCCUGGAAGGUGGAUCAGCACCAGAGAUACUUCUGGGCUGGUGCAGAACCCCUCUUGGAAGUUUUCCUGCACGUACUUAACGACAGCGUUGCUAAACGAGUCAAAGGUUUUGCUUUAAGGUUUCUCAAGGAGGAUGAGGCACUGGGGGAACCUCCUCUCCCUUCUCACCAUGGCUCAUACAAGUGAUUUCUAGAGCUAAUCCAUGCAUGGCUGAAUGCUAAUUUGGGAUCUGCCUGCCUCCAGAACCAUCAUCAUGCUCAGCAAAUGCUACCCUACGUAUUUUUGGCCAAUG
ensembl:lncRNA